GACGAACGCUGGCGGCGUGCCUAAUACAUGCAAGUCGAGCGCAGGAAAUCGACGGAACCCUUCGGGGGGAAGUCGACGGAAUGAGCGGCGGACGGGUGAGUAACACGUAAAGAACCUGCCCUCAGGUCUGGGAUAACCACGAGAAAUCGGGGCUAAUACCGGAUGGGUCAUCGGACCGCAUGGUCCGAGGAUGAAAGGCGCUUCGGCGUCGCCUGGGGAUGGCUUUGCGGUGCAUUAGCUAGUUGGUGGGGUAAUGGCCCACCAAGGCGACGAUGCAUAGCCGACCUGAGAGGGUGAUCGGCCACACUGGGACUGAGACACGGCCCAGACUCCUACGGGAGGCAGCAGUAGGGAAUCUUCCACAAUGGACGAGAGUCUGAUGGAGCAACGCCGCGUGAACGAUGAAGGCCUUCGGGUCGUAAAGUUCUGUUGUAAGGGAAGAACAAGUGCCGCAGGCAAUGGCGGCACCUUGACGGUACCUUGCGAGAAAGCCACGGCUAACUACGUGCCAGCAGCCGCGGUAA
rnacentral:rRNA from 1 species